rnacentral:rRNA from 1 species
UGGGGAAUAUUGCACAAUGGGCGCAAGCCUGAUGCAGCCAUGCCGCGUGUGUGAAGAAGGCCUUCGGGUUGUAAAGCACUUUCAGCGGGGAGGAAGGCGAUAAGGUUAAUAACCUUGUCGAUUGACGUUACCCGCAGAAGAAGCACCGGCUAACUCCGUGCCAGCAGCCGCGGUAAUACGGAGGGUGCAAGCGUUAAUCGGAAUUACUGGGCGUAAAGCGCACGCAGGCGGUCUGUCAAGUCAGAUGUGAAAUCCCCGGGCUCAACCUGGGAACUGCAUCUGAUACUGGCAAGCUUGAGUCUCGUAGAGGGGGGUAGAAUUCCAGGUGUAGCGGUGAAAUGAGUAGAGAUCUGGAGGAAUACCGGUGGCGAAGGCGGCCCCCUGGACGAAGACUGACGCUCAGGUGCGAAAGCGUGGGGAGCAAACAGG